rnacentral:rRNA from 1 species
AACGAACGCUGGCGGCAGGCCUAACACAUGCAAGUCGAGCGCGCCCUUCGGGGUGAGCGGCGGACGGGUGAGUAACGCGUGGGAACGUGCCCUCUUCUGCGGGAUAGCCUCUGGAAACGGAGAGUAAUACCGCAUACGCCCUUUUGGGGAAAGAUUUAUCGGAGGAGGAUCGGCCCGCGUUGGAUUAGGUAGUUGGUGGGGUAAUGGCCUACCAAGCCGACGAUCCAUAGCUGGUUUUAGAGGAUGAUCAGCCACACUGGGACUGAGACACGGCCCAGACUCCUACGGGAGGCAGCAGUGGGGAAUCUUAGACAAUGGGCGCAAGCCUGAUCUAGCCAUGCCGCGUGAGUGACGAAGGCCCUAGGGUCGUAAAGCUCUUUCGCCUGUGAAGAUAAUGACGGUAGCAGGUAAAGAAACCCCGGCUAACUCCGUGCCAGCGCCGCGGU